GUAGCUCUGUAAAUGAAGUUUCAAAGCUGGAGCUCUGUAAAUGAAGCUUUCGAAGCUGAUUAACAUGAGUGAUGCUCAUGAAUGUUUAUGUUGAUUGACAUGAGUGAUGCUCAUGGAUGUUAACAUGAGUGAUGCUCAUGAAUGUUUAUGUAUGAUUGACAUGAGUGAUGCUCAUGAAUCUUUAUGUAUGAUUGACAUGAGUGAUGCUCAUGUAUGAUGGUGAUUGUCAUGAGUGAUGCUCAUGUAUGAUUUUUU
rnacentral:lncRNA from 1 species